rnacentral:rRNA from 1 species
GACGAACGCUGGCGGCGUGCCUAAUACAUGCAAGUUGAGCGCUGAAGGUUGGUACUUGUACCAACUGGAUGAGCAGCGAACGGGUGAGUAACGCGUGGGGAAUCUGCCUUUGAGCGGGGGACAACAUUUGGAAACGAAUGCUAAUACCGCAUAAAAACUUUAAACACAAGUUUUAAGUUUGAAAGAUGCAAUUGCAUCACUCAAAGAUGAUCCCGCGUUGUAUUAGCUAGUUGGUGAGGUAAAGGCUCACCAAGGCGAUGAUACAUAGCCGACCUGAGAGGGUGAUCGGCCACAUUGGGACUGAGACACGGCCCAAACUCCUACGGGAGGCAGCAGUAGGGAAGCUUCGGCAAGGGACGAAAGUCUGACCGAGCAACGCCGCGUGAGUGAAGAAGGUUUUCGGAUCGUAAAACUCUGUUGGUAGAGAAGAACGUUGGUGAGAGUGGAAAGCUCAUCAAGUGACGGUAACUACCCAGAAAGGGACGGCUAACUACGUG